CUAAUCAGAUCAAUCAUUCCAAUCUUUCAUCCAUUUUUUUCUCUCGCCCAUUUCAAAAGAACCCUAAUUUCCCCUCAUUAUCUAUCGCCGUCUCUGUUCAAUCCUCAACACGUCUUCCUUGAUUGUAAAACGAUAUCUGAUAAUCAACAAGAAGAUGACAUAUUAAGAAGAAAGGUACGAAGGGAACGGUAAAGAUGUUGAAACCUUUCACGGCGGAGGCUCUUCUCCUUCGGCUGGAGCCAACGACGACGGCGGCUGCGGCACCGAAGAGUUUAGCGAUUCUAAGUCACAGUUUAGAUACUUUUGGAUCAUGGAUUUUCCAUCUCGUCUUAUUAAAGAAGUUGUCAAAGUUUUGUUAGGUUCCCGUUUUGUUAAGUCACAGCCUUAUCAAUCACACACAAAGAAAUUGUGCUCUAUUCUUUCACCAAUAUGCGGUUUCCAUAAAUAUGAUGGCUUUCCUUUCGAAGUUUUAAUCAAAUCACAAUCCCUAAAUUUGGAACUUUUGAUAGUUUCAUUCGCUAUAAUUGUCUGCCAUGUUGUGCUUCGUGGAACAGUAAUUCAAUCGGUUAGUCCAAUUACACCACUCGCUUUUAUUUCUUUAAUUACACUAACUACUUUCUAUUCUUUAAAAGAUGCAUCAAGUUAUGGCACUAAAAAGAUUUCAGCAAAAAGGCUAAACGACGUUGCUUGCCAAAUCGGAUUAGCUUCUUUCGAUACAUCAAAGGUCUUUGUUUUUUUUCUUUUCAAGCACUUUGCCAUUUUAAUAUGCCCAAUAGAUAAGUGAGUUCUAUGAUAUUCCGAAUUAACUCAACUGAUCAUUUCAUUAACAACUAAUACCUUUUGUCCUUACAAAAUUAAAUCUGUCGCUUUAGUGCCCUUCGUGCUUUUUAAAACCAAGUAUCUUAGCGGUGUCUCCGCUAAUAGAUCACAUUUCAGAAUAGAAUGUAGAGCAAACGGUUCUCUUUAGACAUCAUCUUCCGAGGGUAAUUUUUUUUUUAAAUUCAAUUAUGGUGAUAUAUAAAGUUGUGAAUCUUGAAAAAAACCAAAACCGAUCAAGCCAUGAUUAAAUCUGAAUUGAAAAAAAAAAGGUUGGACUCAGGAACCAGACCAGUCUAGCUCUGCUCGGUAUGAUUAGAUCUUAUCCCAAAUCGGACUGUAAAUGAAUACAAACCUGCUUCUUCUUUAUAAUCCUUUUUUUGCUUCAUUUAUAUUCGAAAAAUAUUUACUACGAAACUUGGUUCUAUCCCAUUUAACAACUUUUAUUUCUUUUUUUGCUUCAUUUAUAUUCGAAAAAUAUUUACUACGAAAUUUGGUUCUAUCCCAUUUAAUAGCUUUUAUUUCUAAUGAAUGAAAACUAAAAGGAUAGCCUAUUAUUGGUUUCAAACUAAUUUAUGGUUGGAUCAUUCAUAUAAUUUUAUUUCAAACUAAUUUAUACAUUUUUGCCAACUUCUUAUAU